UCUCCUGGAAACGGGUGGUAAUGCCGGAUGUUCCACAUGAGCGCAUGCGAGUGUGGGAAAGGCUUUUUGCGGCAUGGGAUGGGGUCGCGUCCUAUCAGCUUGUUGGUGGGGUAACGGCCUACCAAGGCGUUGACGGGUAGCCGGCCUGAGAGGGCGACCGGCCACAUUGGGACUGAGAUACGGCCCAGACUCCUACGGGAGGCAGCAGUGGGGAAUAUUGCACAAUGGGCGCAAGCCUGAUGCAGCGACGCCGCGUGCGGGAUGGAGGCCUUCGGGUUGUAAACCGCUUUUGUUCAAGGGCAAGGCACGGUUUCGGCCGUGUUGAGUGGAUUGUUCGAAUAAGCACCGGCUAACUACGUGCCAGCAGCCGCGGUAAUACGUAGGGUGCAAGCGUUAUCCGGAUUUAUUGGGCGUAAAGGGCUCGUAGGCGGUUCGUCGCGUCCGGUGUGAAAGUCCAUCGCUUAACGGUGGAUCCGCGCCGGGUACGGGCGGGCUUGAGUGCGGUAGGGGAGACUGGAAUUCCCGGUGUAACGGGUGGAAUGUGUAGAUAUCGGGAAGACACCCA
rnacentral:rRNA from 1 species